rnacentral:lncRNA from 1 species
AGGUUACAGGGAUGAUGCUACUAACAGUAAAAGUUGAGUCAUAUGGUUUCACGGAUAAGUCCUAAGGAUCAACCAGGAAGUUGCUUUAUCUGGCCACCCUCCACCAAUGCACAGCUUGACCAAUGGCACAACCUACAAGCCGAUUUCAAGGUCACUGCAAGCACCACUCGUUAGCUGGAGGAGCUGGAGGCACCGUGCACUUUCACUGCUGGGGAAGGGCUUGCUGUUGCCCAAAGAAUGUGGAUCGGCCCAGCAUUUUGUUCCACCCCAGAACCAGGCUUCUGGUAUUGAAGAGUGAUAUCCUUCUGUUGGAAGCAGUUCAGUUUCUAUUUAUGGGAGGCAGUGUUCUCAAAGUGUAGAUCUCCAGGACACCUGCAUUAGAAUCCUGGAGGGCUUGUAAAAAUGCAAAUGUCUGACUCCCAGGAAUUCCUGCUGAAUUAGACUCAGCAUGAAAGAUGGAGAGCCGAGGGUAGCAAUUAAGAACACGGGUUCUCAUAUAUAUGGACUAACUCCAAGCUCCAGCUUCUCUACCGACACCUGUGGACCGUGGGCAGAGUAUUUAACCUCUCUGGGUCUCCAUUUCAUCACCUGUGCAAAGGGAAUGCAGAACAGUCAAGAGAUUUGGAACUCACGUGGUUGUUUAAAGAAUGAAAUGGAAUAACACAUAUUCUGCAAUGUUUGGCAAGCAGUAAAUGUUCACCAUGAGAUAACUCUUCAGAAAGUCUUAGGAUCCUAUGAGAAAUAAUAAACUUGGCCAUGACAACCAGUGUUAAGAUCCCUGCUCGUACUUCCUACAGGUACAGGUUUUGACAAGUCUACAGACCAGCAACCAGACCUGAAGGUAUUGUGAUCAGUUUGAACUCCACCAGGACUCUCCCUGAGCCUCAACAAUGGACCAGCCAGGAGAGGGCAGCAGGAGAGAGCCAGAGACUAACGUUGUUGCUGUCAGAAUCACAAUGUUUAUGAGUUAGGGGCACUCACUUGGUGUGUCCAGGUUGGUCCUAAUUUCAAGAGACACUAAAUCUGGUGAAUGCAGGUCUGGUAGCAUGGAUUACAUGCUGGGUGGGUGUACAUUAGUACUGUGGGUGGUGGCUGUCCACCUGACUUCUGAUUUUCAUAGAUUAUUUACUUCAGGAAGUCACACAAGCAUCAAUAUAUUGUAGGAAACAACACAGCUCAAUUGCAACGUAGAUAUUGAGAGAUCAUUUAAAGCCAGGGUGGGCAAUUUUUUUGGUAGCGUCUGUGAGCUAAGAAUGGUUUUCCUAUUUUUAAAGGGUUGUCAAAAAGAAGGAGGAGCAGGGGGAGGAGAAAUAAUGACAGUGUGGUAGUUAAUUUCAUGCGUCAACUUGACUGGGUCACAGGGAACCCAGAUACUGGAUUAAACAUUAUUUCGGGGGGGGGGCAUUUCCAGAUGAGAUUAGUAUUUGAACCGAUAGACUGAGUAAAGGAGAUGGCCCUCCCCAGGGUGCAGGGGUUUCAUCCAAUCCAUCAAGGGCCUCAACAGAGCAAGAAGGCUGAGGAAGGGAGACUUUGCUCUUUCCGCCUAUGAGCGCUGGGACAGUGGUCUUUCCCUGCCCUCUGAUGGGAACUUACACCACCAUUGUUCCUGGUCCUCAGGCCUUUGGACUUGAGCUGGAACUACACCACCAGCUUCCUGGGGCUCCAGCUUGCAGACAGCAAGCCGAUCAUGAUGAUUCUCGGUUUCCAUAAUUCCAUGAGCCAAUUCCAUCUAUCUACCUAUCUACCUAUUCAUCUAUCUAUUUAUUCAUUUAUCUAUCUAUCUAUCUAUCUAUCUAUCUAUCUAUCUAUCUAUCUACUUAUCUAUAUCUCCUGUUGGUUUUGUUUCUUUGGAGAAGCAUGACUAAUAGAAACAGAGA